rnacentral:rRNA from 11 species
GGAUGUUGGCUUAGAAGCAGCCAUCAUUUAAAGAGUGCGUAAUAGCUCACUAGUCGAGUGACACUGCGCCGAAAAUGUACCGGGGCUAAACAUAUUACCGAAGCUGUGGAUUGUCCUUUGGACAAUGGUAGGAGAGCGUUCUAAGGGCGUUGAAGCAUGAUCGCAAGGACAUGUGGAGCGCUUAGAAGUGAGAAUGCCGGUGUGAGUAGCGAAAGACGGGUGAGAAUCCCGUCCACCGAUUGACUAAGGUUUCCAGAGGAAGGCUCGUCCGCUCUGGGUUAGUCGGGUCCUAAGCUGAGGCCGACAGGCGUAGGCGAUGGAUAACAGGUUGAUAUUCCUGUACCACCUAUAAUCGUUUUAAUCGAUGGGGGGACGCAGUAGGAUAGGCGAAGCGUACGAUUGGAUUGUACGUCUAAGCAGUGAGAUUGAGUGUUAGGCAAAUCCGGCACUCUUAAGAUUGAGCUGUGAUGGGGAGAGGAAAUUGUUUCCUCGAGUCGUUGAUUUCACACUGCCGAGAAAAGCCUCUAGAUAGAGAUUAGGUGCCCGUACCGCAAACCGACACAGGUAGUCAAGGAGAGAAUCCUAAGGUGCUCGAGUGAUUCAUGGCUAAGGAACUAGGCAAAAUAGUCCUGUAACUUCGGGAGAAGGGACGCUUCCCUUGCAGCAAUGUAAGGAAGCCGCAGUGAAAAGAUCCAGGCGACUGUUUAACAAAAACACAUGGCUUUGCGAAAUCGAAAGAUGAAGUAUAAGGCCUGACACCUGCCCGGUGCUGGAAGGUUAAGGGGGGAACUUAGUGAGGGUAACCUUGCGAAGGUUUGAACUGAAGCCCCAGUAAACGGCGGCCGUAACUAUAACGGUCCUAAGGUAGCGA